UCCAAAAUUAACUGCAAAUCUAAACAACCCGGUAUAGAAUCUGGAGGGUACAGCCAAAAGACUCAGCUCGGGACGAUACAGUUACUUCUUCAUGGUUUGAUGUUAGACCGGGGUGACUAUGUUCCAUCAUAGGAUACAAAAACAUCAAAUAUGCUCAACAAAGGAGAAACUAUAGCGAGUGAAAUCGAACAACUUACAGAGGAUAAAUAUGCACUGUAAUAAUUAUUCUUGCUGGGUGUUGUUGAGGAUAAAGUGUAUGGUGAUUCUACAACAGUUUAGAGAUGGAAUUAUAAACUACAUAAGAAGUCAAACUGGUGAUUAGAAAUACAUCUUAUCAAUCUGCAGUUCUAAAGCAACCAAAUAAGCUUCCCUUACACCAAGUUUUCCUUCCAGUGAUUAAUUACUACUUCAUGUUCUCCGGUCAAAUGAAUCGUCGAUCAACACUGAAAAGGUGAAAUUAUUCCAUGAGCCACAGUUCUUCAAAAAACAACACAAGCAGAAAACUAUAGAGCUGUCUCUGUCCCACAGAAAAAGGACUUAUAACAAGGAAGAUGAAGCAUGCAUUGUUGUUGGGGCCACACACCAGUGAACCAGUGAGAAAUGUCCAGAAGAUCAUUUUUUUUUUUAUAUAAGGUGCAGCCCUGCAAUCCACCAAAUACUCAGGUCACUUAGUCUUUAAACUCUGACCAAAGCACUGAUCCAUAGCCUAUUUUGUUUGUUAUGUAAGCCUGUCCAGAUACACCUUGCAUGAUUGAAAUGCACAUGGAAGAGACACAGUCAUUAGCUGAGCUCUCCUAACCAGUACUACAUCACCACCAACUGGAACAGAAGAUGUAAAAGCUGAAGAAGAAUGCUGGUGAUCGUUCUUCAGAUAAAGUAUCCUCCCACUUGAAGCAGCUAAGUUGCAAUCAACACCAGGUACCACGAUCCUGCAAGUUUGAGUUCCACCCUAAGACAAGACUAACCAGAGCUUAUCACGCCAAUUCACUACAAGUAUGGGAAGUCAUUUUCCUAGUUAGCACUUAUAAGUUAAGUAAAGUAUUUGUUACAACUGUGGCUGUUCAGUUGCCCGAUAAGAAUCAUCAGGUUCCAUCCCACUCUAGUGCCAUACAGCAGGAAGGACAUCAAUGACAAGGCACAGGAUAUGUGGCAUCAACUAAAUUAAACUAGCUGGCCUCAGUGUGGAAAGGUGCAGUUAUCACUGCAUUAUAACAUAAUGUUGUUUGUUCAGUACAAGCUAGUUUGAGUGUGGUUUGGUAUGUACCUUUGGUCAUACAUAUAUGUUAUUGUGGACAAUAAAGCUGAGAGAAUUUUGA